CGGUGUUUGAGAAGAAAUUUCCUGUUUUAAGGUUUUCAUUUACAUUUUCAGGAUUAUUCUAUAUUUUUCAGAUUCACAGAGUUCAACAGCGUGUUACAAUUAAGAAAGCUUUGACUCUAAAAUAUGGAGAAGAGCUUGCUCGGGCAAAGGCAGUGGCUAGUAAAGAAAUAGGAAAACGUAAACUGGAACAAGAUCGCUUUGGGCCAAACAAAAUGAUGAGACUGGACAGUUCUCCAGUAUCAAGUCCAAGAAAGCAUUCAGCAGAACUAAUUGCUAUGGAGAAAAGACGGUUACAAAAGCUGGAAUAUGAAUAUGCCCUGAAAAUUCAAAAAUUAAAAGAAGCCCGUGCCCUUAAAGCAAAGGAACAACAAAAUAUCUCUCCAGUUGUGGAAGAGGAACCCGAAUUUUCUUUACCUCAACCCUCACUUCAUGAUCUGACACAAGAUAAAUUAACCCUGGACACUGAAGAAAAUGAUAUUGAUGAUGAAAUUUUGU
rnacentral:sRNA from 1 species